GUGAGGAAUAUUGGUCAAUGGACGGAAGUCUGAACCAGCCAUGCCGCGUGCAGGAAUAAGGUCCUAUGGAUUGUAAACUGCUUUUAUUCGGGAAUAAACCUCUUUACGUGUAGGGAGCUGAAGGUACCGAAGGAAUAAGCACCGGCUAACUCCGUGCCAGCAGCCGCGGUAAUACGGAGGGUGCAAGCGUUAUCCGGAAUCAUUGGGUUUAAAGGGUCCGCAGGCGGGCUAUCAAGUCAGAGGUGAAAUCCCACAGCUUAACUGUGGAACUGCCUUUGAAACUGAUGGUCUUGAAUUAAGUGGGCGUUGGCGGAAUAUGACAUGUAGCGGUGAAAUGCAUAGAUAUGUCAUGGAACACCGAAAGCGAAGGCAGCUAACGAUACUUAUAUUGACGCUCAUGGACGAAAGCGUGGGUAGCGAACAGGAUUAGAUACCCGGGUAUCC
rnacentral:rRNA from 1 species